CCUACGGGGGGCAGCAGUGAGGAAUAUUGGUCAAUGAGCGAGAGCCUGAACCAGCCAAGUAGCGUGCAGGAUGACGGCCCUAUGGGUUGUAAACUGCUUUUGUAUGGGGAUAAAGUCAAUCACGUGUGAUUGUUUGCAGGUACCAUACGAAUAAGGACCGGCUAAUUCCGUGCCAGCAGCCGCGGUAAUACGGAAGGUCCAGGCGUUAUCCGGAUUUAUUGGGUUUAAAGGGAGCGUAGGCUGGAGAUUAAAUGUGUUGUGAAAUGUAGACGCUCAACGUCUGAAUUGCAGCGCAGACUGGUUUCCUUGAGUACGCACAACGUUGGCGGAAUUCGUCGUGUAGCGGUGAAAUGCUUAGAUAUGACGAAGAACUCCGAUUGCGAAGGCAGCUGACGGGAGCGCAACUGACGCUUAAGCUCGAAGGUGCGGGUAUCGAACAGGAUUAGAUACCCGGGUAGUC
rnacentral:rRNA from 1 species